CGCUUCUUGGGAAAGUGGUGUGGUUGAAGACAGCAUGGCAUCAAGAAGUUCGGUUCUAUCUUGUUUUACUGAAGUACGGAAAUCAUUAUUGGAACGCUAUUUCUCUUAGGAAGCCUAUCAGAAGACAAUUACUCGAGAUUUUCGACAGCUGAAGAAUGAAUUUGAAACGAAAGCAAGUUUUUUUUUCAGGAAAUUUUGUGUCAAGCUAUACAACUAUUCGUGGUAUUUCUACAGAAGCAGUCCGCACGGACUGCAAGGAACGUAACCGCGGAAAGUGAGGCGUUUGUGAAGAGAUUGAGGAGUUUGUGAGGAAACUUGGGAUUGAAAUGGAUACUUUGUGAGGAAACGUGUUAUGGACUUCCGUUUUAUGCUGUGGGGAAACUCGUCGCAUUCGCCUUGGAUAUGUGUCAAUUACCCUAAAAUAUUUGAGUUUACGAGGAGAAUACAUAACAAACGACCAAGAAAGAAGCGAAAGUAUGAAAAAGGCAACGACCAAGAAGGAAGCAGAAGUGUGACACAAAACGACCAAGAAAGCAGCCAAAGUAUGACAGCGGCAACGACUAAGAAGCUGAAGUGUGAUAGAAGCAACGACAGGAAAGAAGAAAAUUUAAA